rnacentral:rRNA from 1 species
AUGGAGGCGCAGCCGCGGGAGAUCUUCCUCGGCGCCGGCGGCCACUGCUUCCUCGUCCUCGUCCUCGUCGCUCACAAUCUUGGUAGCUCAUCUUGGGAGAGACCCAUCAUGCAAAUAAUGGCCAACAGGACAUGUUCUGCUUCUGCCUCCUCACUCUUUGCUUCAUCUCGGCCACAAGGAUGGGCAGAGCUCCCGGACGACCUGCUCCGACCCAUUGUCGCUCUACUACGCUCGUUCCGCGACCUCCUCGCCUUCGGUACCACUUGUCGUCAUUGGUGUGAUCUCUUCUCAGCACGCAGGUCCUCUCUCCAGCCUCUGCUCCUCCACCCCAAUCUCCGUACCGACGGUGGACAGACUCUCUCGCAUAACUGUUGGACCUUAUUCCACAAAGGCGCAUGGAGAUUGGCUGACCCUGCUGCCACCUCAUCCUCUCGCAGUUUUCUUUCCUUGAGUGACCUCAGAAGCAUGACCUUUCUGCGCUACUCCCAUGGUCAGCUCAUCUUCUACGACAACAAUGGGUUCCAUAUUGUUAAUCCGUUCAGUGGCACUAAGGUUGGUCCUCCUUCCCUCCAGUCAGUUCACUUCACUUGCAUCAGCUAUGUCACCUUAACUGCCCCUGUUGCAUCCACUGAUUCGCAUCUCCUUGUCGGUGCUGGAGCCUAUCUGUUCCUGUGGCGCAUCGGGAGCGACUCUUGGACAAAACACAGUCCUAAAGUUGUUCGUUUUUCCAUUGAACAAAAUGUGGCCUUCAAGGGCAAGACAUAUGCCCUAGGGUCUUUCGGGUGGUUCUACAUCAUUCACUUGUCACCCAGUCUCAUUGUUGAGAAGUUUAAAGUUGUGUUCGAGGAAGAUAAAACCGAAGAUCUCUAUUCGGCAAAUGAAAAAGCAUGGCUACUGGUGUGUGGUGACACGCUUCUCUUGAUCAAACUUGUGGAGGCGGGAAGACGGAUGCGCUCGGAGGCCUUCCAGUUCAUGCCCUUCAAGCUUGAGUCAUUGGACACCAUGACCAAGAAGGCAAGGUGGGUGAAAGUGAACAAGUUAGAUAACUGGGCCAUCUUUAUCAGCAUUGACGAGCGGUGCAAGGCGUUGCCGUGCAUGAACCCAGAGGGAUGGGGAGGAAGGAGCAACCACAUAUACUUCCCAAGUUAUCAGUCUGAAAAACCUUGGGCUGCAGUCCAACUAUGGGAAAAAUGUUAUUACCGUUCGACACAGCUCUUCAACACUGGAAGACGGUACCUGAAAUUGGAGUCAACCUGGGUCUUCCCCGCGCGUUUCCUUGUUACGUCCUGCGAUGAUCUUACGGCCGUGAGUGCGGUUGAUGAUUAG